AGAGGUGGAGUCUCAGAAGCAGAGCCGGGUCAGCAAACAGCUGUGAAGAAUUGCAGCAGAGGGCUUUCCUGGUUACCUACCUUUUUUAUAGCUCAUAUGAUGAUGUUAAUGUCCAGUAACCAAUACUGCAAAUCAGACCCCUGGUGACAUUUUUUGAGAGAGAAAAAAUGAAGUGAACUUGAACUUUACCUUUUAAAAAUAUCAAUACUGGAGAGAUGGCUCAGAGGUUAAGAGCACCAACUGCUCUACCAAAGGUCCUGAGUUCAAAUCCCAGCAACCACAUGGUGGCUCACAACCAUCUGUAAUGGGAUCUGAUGCCCUCUUCUGGUGUGUCUGAAGACAGCUACAGUGUACUCGUAAUAAAUAAAUCUUCAAAAAGGAAAAGAAAAGGAAAGAAAUGCUUUACAAAAUAUCAAUACUUGACUGACAUAGGACAUUUCAGACAUGCAUUUAUUCCUGAGGUUGCUUAACUUUUUAAAAAAGAGCUAUUCUGUAUUCUUUACAUUAGUGAAAUGAACACUGAUAAUUGAGACUUGCAAUCUGAUUACCUUUAUUGCAUCAACAACCCAAAUCAGCACAUGGUUUGACUUUCCUGCAUGACGGAAAUCCUUGAGUCCUAAAGAUUGAAAUGAAAGAAAAAUCUAGUCAGUAGAAUCAAGCUUUUGGACUUACAUAGAAAUCAGACCCCAAACUCUUGCCCAAAAUGAACAAUUGAAAUUCCUGUUGAGGUUUUUAAAAGUCUCCACCACCCCCUCAAGUGUUCUGCGUUUUACACAACUCAGCACUUCCAAACCAAGCCAGAAUGAAGAGCCCUGCAAUCCCUGUGGUCGGCCAUUUCCCAAGUAUUCCAAACACGCCUGGACCAGGACACUCCAGGAAUCUCAUCAGAGCCUUGACCCCAGGAGGUUUCUAGCUCCAUUUCCAAACCAUAGAGGUUUGGAAAAGACCUCUGUGAACCUUCCAUCUACCUCCUGCGCAUCGACAUGGUUAGCGUCAAGUUCUCACCUAAGACAAACCGACAUGGUUUACUAUACUGCAAAGCUAACUUGCCAUGGACAGCAUUAGAAACUUGGCUGGGACCAGUCAAGAUGGUUCUGUUUAACAACCUAAUAAAUAUAUUGGAAUGAGCAAUGAAAGC
ensembl:processed_transcript 4930403O15Rik RIKEN cDNA 4930403O15 gene